rnacentral:rRNA from 1 species
GACGAACGCUGGCGGCGUGCUUAACACAUGCAAGUCGAACGAUGAAACCUAGCUUGCUAGGUCGAUUAGUGGCGAACGGGUGAGUAACACGUGACUAACCUGCCCCUUUCUCUGGGAUAACGCCCCGAAAGGAGUGCUAAUACCGGAUACUCACACCGAGGCACAUGCCUUGGUGUGGAAAGUUUUUCGGAAAGGGAUGGAGUCGCGGCCUAUCAGCUUGUUGGUGAGGUAACGGCUCACCAAGGCGACGACGGGUAGCCGGCCUGGGAGGGCGACCGGCCACACUGGGACUGAGGCACGGCCCAGACUCCUACGGGAGGCAGCAGUGGGGAAUAUUGCACAAUGGGCGCAAGCCUGAUGCAGCGACGCCGCGUGAGGGAUGAAGGUCUUCGGAUUGUAAACCUCUUUCAGUAGGGACGAAGCGAAAGUGACGGUACCUAAAGAAGAAGCACCGGCUAACUACGUGCCAGCCGCCGCCGUAA